GACCUGGGCUGUUGUUGCGGUUGUUUUCCUUCUCUCCGUGCAACGCUGGCAAGUCUCAAAAUACUGAAGUACUCUUUCCCAGUGGGACUAAGAACCAGCAGAACAGAUAUACUUUCUCUCAAGAUGUCUCUCCAGCAAAACUUUUCCCCAUGUCCAAGGCCUUGGCUUUCCUCAUCAUUUCCAGCGUAUAUGAGCAAGACACAGUGCUAUCAUACAUCCCCCUGCAGCUUUAAAAAGCAGCAGAAGCAAGCACUUCUAGCCAGACCCUCAAGCACCAUCACUUACCUAACUGACAGCCCAAAGCCAGCAUUAUGUGUAACUCUGGCAGGACUAAUCCCCUUCGUUGCUCCACCACUGGUCAUGCUGAUGACAAAAACUUAUAUUCCCAUAUUAGCUUUUACUCAGAUGGCUUAUGGAGCCAGUUUCCUAUCUUUCUUGGGUGGGAUCAGAUGGGGUUUUGCUCUACCAGAAGGUAGUCCAGCCAAACCAGACUACCUUAAUUUAGCUAGCAGUGCAGCUCCUCUUUUCUUUUCAUGGUUUGCCUUCCUUAUUUCUGAAAGACUUAGUGAAGCCAUAGUCACAGUAAUAAUGGGUAUGGGAGUAGCAUUCCACCUUGAACUUUUUCUCUUACCACAUUAUCCCAACUGGUUUAAAGCCCUGAGGAUAGUAGUCACUUUAUUGGCCACUUUUUCAUUUAUAAUCACUUUAGUAGUUAAAAGUAGUUUUCCAGAAAAAGGACAUAAGAGACCUGGUCAAGUAUAAAAAAUAUAAAAGUCUGGGAAGUGAGGAGCACCUCUGCCCAGCUGCUGCCCCGUCUGGGAAGUGAGGAGCGCCUCUGCCUGGCCGCCUGACCAUCUGGGAAGUGUGACAAGCGCCUCUGCCCGGCCGCUGUGCAACCUUCCACGUGUGAAGUGACAGCCUUGUGUGUGAUCUUUUCUGUCUUCCCCAAGUUUGCAUUUUCGACAUUAAAGUUUACUUUUUAGUUAAAAGUUUUAAAAAUAUAUAUAUAUAAAUACACUGUAGAUAACAUUUGUAUGCCAGCUACACCUUUUUCUACUUCUGUUUGGCUUUUUUUCCCCACACCAAUGGUAAUUUAUCUUCACAGAUUGUUCUUCAUUUCUAGAAAUUGUUACUUCAUGGUAAUUACUUGAGCAAAAGCUUGAAAAUCCCUGACAAGUACUUUUCAUCUCAUAGUAUAUUAGUUUUCACUCAGUCAUUUUAUGAAUAAUAUAGUUAUCCACUUAAACAUUUCAAUAUUUUAACCAUCUUGAAAAUUAAAGAUUAAAAAUCCC
rnacentral:lncRNA from 1 species